AACGAACGCUGGCGGCAUGCCUAACACAUGCAAGUCGAACGAGACCUUCGGGUCUAGUGGCGCACGGGUGCGUAACGCGUGGGAACCUGCCCUUAGGUUCGGAAUAACUCCCCGAAAGGGGUGCUAAUACCGGAUAAUGUCUUCGGACCAAAGAUUUAUCGCCUUUGGAUGGGCCCGUGUUGGAUUAGCUAGUUGGUAGGGUAAAAGCCUACCAAGGCGACGAUCCAUAGCUGGUCUGAGAGGAUGAUCAGCCACACUGGGACUGAGACACGGCCCAGACUCCUACGGGAGGCAGCAGUGGGGAAUAUUGGACAAUGGGCGAAAGCCUGAUCCAGCAAUGCCGCGUGAGUGAUGAAGGCAUUAGGGUUGUAAAGCUCUUUUACCAGGGAUGAUAAUGACAGUACCGGGAGAAUAAGCUCCGGCUAACUCCGUG
rnacentral:rRNA from 1 species